UACGGGGGGGGGGCAAGCGUUGUUCGGAAUUACUGGGCGUAAAGGGCUCGUAGGCGGCCAACUAAGUCGGACGUGAAAUCCCUCGGCUUAACCGGGGAACUGCGUCUGAUACUGGAUGGCUUGAGAUUGGGAGGAGGGAUGCGGAAUUCCAGGUGUAGGCGGUAGAAAUGCGUAGAUAUCUGGAGGAACACCGGUGGCGAAGGCGGCAUCCUGGACCAACACUGACGCUGAGGAGCGAAAGCCAGGGGAGCAAACGGG
rnacentral:rRNA from 1 species